rnacentral:rRNA from 1 species
CAAGCGGUGGAGCAUGUGGUUUAAUUCGAUGCAACGCGAAGAACCUUACCUACUCUUGACAUCCACGGAAUUCGGCAGAGAUGCCUUAGUGCCUUCGGGAACCGUGAGACAGGUGCUGCAUGGCUGUCGUCAGCUCGUGUUGUGAAAUGUUGGGUUAAGUCCCGCAACGAGCGCAACCCUUAUCCUUUGUUGCCAGCGAUACGGUCGGGGACUCAAAGGAGACUGCCGGUGAUAAACCGGAGGAAGGUGGGGAUGACGUCAAGUCAUCAUGGCCCUUACGAGUAGGGCUACACACGUGCUACAAUGGCGCAUACAAAGAGAAGCGACCUCGCGAGAGCAAGCGGACCUCAUAAAGUGCGUCGUAGUCCGGAUCGGAGUCUGCAACUCGACUCCGUGAAGUCGGAAUCGCUAGUAAUCGUGGAUCAGAAUGCCACGGUGAAUACGUUCCCGGGCCUUGUACACACC